AUUGAACGCUGGCGGCAUGCCUUACACAUGCAAGUCGAACGGCAGCGGGCCUUCGGGUGCCGGCGAGUGGCGAACGGGUGAGUAAUGCAUCGGAACGUGCCAUUGAGUGGGGGAUAACGUAGCGAAAGUUGCGCUAAUACCGCAUAUUCUGUGAGCAGGGAAAGCAGGGGACCGCAAGGCCUUGCGCUCUUUGAGCGGCCGAUGUCAGAUUAGCUAGUUGGUGAGGUAAAGGCUUACCAAGGCGACGAUCUGUAGCGGGUCUGAGAGGAUGAUCCGCCACACUGGAACUGAGACACGGUCCAGACUCCUACGGAGGCAGCGAGUGGGGAAUUUUGGACGAAUGGGGGCAACCCUGAUCCAGCCAUGCCGCGUGAGUGAAGAAGGCCU
rnacentral:rRNA from 1 species